rnacentral:rRNA from 1 species
GACCCGCACAAGCGGUGGAGCAUGUGGUUUAAUUCGAAGCAACGCGAAGAACCUUACCAGCUCUUGACAUCUUCUGAUCACCCUAGAGAUAGGGCUUUCCCUUCGGGGACAGAAUGACAGGUGGUGCAUGGUUGUCGUCAGCUCGUGUCGUGAGAUGUUGGGUUAAGUCCCAUAACGAGCGCAACCCUUAUUGUUAGUUGCCAGCAUUCAGUUGGGCACUCUAGCGAGACUGCCGGUGAUAAACCGGAGGAAGGUGGGGAUGACGUCAAAUCAUCAUGCCCCUUAUGAGCUGGGCUACACACGUGCUACAAUGGACGGUACAACGAGUUGCGAGGCCGCAAGGCUUAGCGAAUCUUUAUAAGCCGUUCUCAGUUCGGAUUGCUCUCUGCAACUCGAGAGCAUGAAGCCGGAAUCGCUAGUAAUCGCGGAUCAGAAUGCCGCGGUGAAUACGUUCCCGGGUCUUGUACACACCGCCCGUCACACCACGAGAGUCCGUAACACCCGAAGCCGGUGGGGCAACCCUUAGGGGAGCUAGCCGUCGAAGGUGGGAUGGAUGAUUGGGGUGAAGUCGUA